ensembl:lncRNA
UGUUGAGCACAAUGGUAUAAUGCAUUAGCAAAGGUUUACUGCAGUGAAAGAGAGAAAGAGAGGGAGGUGCAUGGAGUUCGCAUAGCUUUAGUCAAAAGCAGAUAUAAAAGUGCGCGGUUCUCCUCCCGUGCGCAACGUGCCAUUGUCCUUGCGCCUCUGGGAGAGGAUCUAAUAGCUGCUUGUGGAGGGAAGUGACAUGAGUGUUAUCACAAGAACCUCUGAUUGUUAUAUUGCCCUCCAGAUUGUUUGUUACCAACUGGAGAGACCAUUCAAUUUGAAUUUAUUUCAGAUUUUCUCAACCUGAAGCGGAAAUAUCGCAGACACAACUGUCCAAAGAAGCGCUGUCUACCUCUUCACUCCAGAGUGCCAUUCCCUUGAGGUUUCACGACUACACAACUAUCCUUAUGAUGCCUUAUCAAGCAUUAAGAAAACCAAAGACCAGCUUUGGGAAAUAAGAGAAGAGUUUCGUAUCCGACUCAGUGAGGACUGUUCUGUAACCAAGCCAUGCUAGUCACUUCUGUAAAGGGAGUGUAUUGUUUUAUGAAUGUUAGUGAUCAAGCCAUGGGGACAUUCACUGCAACCAAAGAUGCUGAAAACUCAUCGCUCAAUCAGUUUGAGUUUGCCAGAAUCAUUGUAAAUAGUAAGAACUGAAUGAAAUGUGUUUAUAUGUAAUUUAUGCACUUUAAAUGCUUUAUUAUUAUCUUGAUUAAAUAAAAAGUGUAUUGUCUUUUCAC